rnacentral:tRNA from 1 species
GCCAGAGUAGCUCAGUUGGUAGAGCAAUCCCUUCGUAAGGGAAAGGUCGUGGGUUCGAUUCCCGCCUCUGGCU